rnacentral:rRNA from 1 species
GUGUUACUGCGAAGGGGGGACGGAGAAGGCUAGGCUAGCCGGGCGACGGUUGUCCCGGUUUAAGCGUGUAGGGGGUGUGACCUGGUAAAUCCGGUUGCAUACUAACCCUGAGGCGUGAUGACGAUGCACUACGGUGCAGAAGUAGUUGAUGCCCUGCUUCCAGGAAAAUCCUCUAAGCUCCAGGUAACAUUAAAUCGUACCCCAAACCGACACAGGUGGUCAGGUAGAGAAUACCAAGGCGCUUGAGAGAACUCGGGUGAAGGAACUAGGCAAAAUGGUGCCGUAACUUCGGGAGAAGGCACGCUGGCAUGUAGGUGAAGUCCCUUGCGGAUGGAGCUGAAGCCAGUCGAAGAUACCAGCUGGCUGCAACUGUUUAAUAAAAACACAGCACUGUGCAAACACGAAAGUGGACGUAUACGGUGUGACGCCUGCCCGGUGCUGGAAGGUUAAUUGAUGGGGUCAGCCGCAAGGCGAAGCUCUUGAUCGAAGCCCCAGUAAACGGCGGCCGUAACUAUAACGGUCCUAAGGUAGCGAAAUUCCUUGUCGGGUAAGUUCCGACCUGCACGAAUGGCGUAAUGAUGGCCAGGCUGUCUCCACCCGAGACUCAGUGAAAUUGAACUCGCUGUGAAGAUGCAGUGUACCCGCGGCAAGACGGAAAGACCCCGUGAACCUUUACUAUAGCUUGACACUGAACAUUGAGCCUUGAUGUGUAGGAUAGGUGGGAGGCUUUGAAGCGUGGACGCCAGUCUGCGUGGAGCCAUCCUUGAAAUACCACCCUUUAAUGUUUGAUGUUCUAACUCGGCCCCAUAAUCUGGGGUGAGGACAGUGUCUGGUGGGUAGUUUGACUGGGGCGGUCUCCUCCCAAAGAGUAACGGAGGAGCACGAAGGUUAGCUAAUCACGGUCGGACAUCGUGAGGUUAGUGCAAAGGCAUAAGCUAGCUUGACUGCGAGAGUGACGGCUCGAGCAGGUACGAAAGUAGGUCUUAGUGAUCCGGUGGUUCUGAAUGGAAGGGCCAUCGCUCAACGGAUAAAAGGUACUCCGGGGAUAACAGGCUGAUACCGCCCAAGAGUUCAUAUCGACGGCGGUGUUUGGCACCUCGAUGUCGGCUCAUCACAUCCUGGGGCUGAAGUAGGUCCCAAGGGUAUGGCUGUUCGCCAUUUAAAGUGGUACGCGAGCUGGGUUUAGAACGUCGUGAGACAGUUCGGUCCCUAUCUGCCGUGGGCGUUGGAAGAUUGAGAGGGGUUGCUCCUAGUACGAGAGGACCGGAGUGAACGCACCACUGGUGUUCGGGUUGUCAUGCCAAUGGCAUUGCCCGGUAGCUAAGUGCGGAAAAGAUAAGCGCUGAAAGCAUCUAAGCGCGAAACUUGCCUCAAGAUGAGUCUUCCCUGGGCCUUUAAGGCCCCUAAAGGAACGUUUAAGACUAAGACGUUGAUAGGCUGGGUGUGUAAGUGCAGCGAUGCAUUGAGCUAACCAGUACUAAUGAUCCGUGAGGCUUAACCUU